AAAAAAAAAAAAAAAAAAAAAAAAAAAAAAAAAAAAAAACCAAUAAAUACAGCGAGCCAGUUUGUCCAAUGCCACAUGGUAAUCAAGGAGCUAAAUAAGAAUGCUCAAGAGAGGCAAUUUGCUUCCAGGUUUGAUGCCAAGUAUCAGUUUGUAUUCUGUGGUCAUUUGUAUCUGCAAAGAAUUCAACUUGAUUAGUAGUUGGCAAUGGUUAGAAAUAGUAUAGUUUGAAUGAAAUGUAGAUAUUGGAAGACAUAUAGAAUGAUGGUUUUGAAAAUGUUAGCAGUUAAUGCGUGCUAUUCAGUGGAAGUAAAGGAAGUACGAGGGUGAAUUUAGAGUUGGGAAACUGAAGUUGGAGAAGAUAAAAUGAUUGAAGGUUUUGUUUGGGAGCUUAUAUGUAUGCUAAGAGAUCGGGUGGUAGUGGGACUUACUGAUGAAGGCUUUAGAACGAGUGGAAUAUGAAUUUGUGAUUUGAAUAUAAAUUGGAAAGUUCUUAGUGGCAGACAGAUAUAUAUAUAUAUUUAUUUAUUUAUUUCUUUAUUAUUAUUAUUUUUUUUUUUGCAGGGGACAGGUGUUUUGCUGCUGGAACUUUUAUUUGCAGUAAGUCUUCCAGAUCAGUGACAAAUGCUCAUGGUCAAAUGAAAGUUUAAGGUGUCACGUGUUUAGACAAUGAGUUGUAUCAGUGGUGAGUGCAGUAAUAACAAGUUAAAUACAUUACCUGAGAGUAGCUUCAAGUCCACAAAAUGUGAAAGAAUUAUUCUUUCAGGGAAAGAGUUACAAGGACUUACCACUGAAGAUAUAGAAGCAGCUGAAUUGACUCGAUAAUUACGAACACCUUGACUGCUGCAAUUGUUAUAGAAUGGAACAACAUUAGAUAUAUCAAUAGCCAACUCGUUAACAACUUGAAGAGGUUGUAGGUGGAGCUUAAAACGUAUCUCCUGAAGAAGCAUAUAAAAUGUCAGUAAUUAGGAUAUAUAAUGAAUGAUUUCUCAAGGGAACGAGAAUCUAUUCCUGAAAAUGUGAUAAAUAACAAGUCAUUAUUCAAUUGUUAACUAACCAACAUGAUGAGGUUUUUCAAAAAAAAAAUGUUAUUUGAUUCGAGUUUUCGUUUUGUUUCUUAAAUGUAAGGUCAUUAUUUGAAUAUUAGAAACUGCAGUAUAACGGGUUGAGGAAAUAAGUUGAGAACAAAAAAUAUAAGGCAAAGUU
rnacentral:lncRNA from 1 species